rnacentral:rRNA from 1 species
AGUGAACGCUGGCGGUAGGCCUAACUCAUGCAAGUCGAACGGCAGCACAGUAAGAGCUUGCCCUUACGGGUGGCGAGUGGCGGACGGGUGAGGAAUACAUCGGAAUCUACUUUUUCGUGGGGGAUAACGUAGGGAAACUUACGCUAAUACCGCAUACGACCUACGGGUGAAAGCAGGGGAUCUUCGGACCUUGCGCGAUUGAAUGAGCCGAUGUCGGAUUAGCUAGUUGGCGGGGUAAAGGCCCACCAAGGCGACGAUCCGUAGCUGGUCUGAGAGGAUGAUCAGCCACACUGGAACUGAGACACGGUCCAGACUCCUACGGGAGGCAGCAGUGGGGAAUAUUGGACAAUGGGCGCAAGCCUGAUCCAGCCAUACCGCGUGGGUGAAGAAGGCCUUCGGGUUGUAAAGCCCUUUUGUUGGGAAAGAAAAGCAGCAGGUUAAUACCCCGCUGUUCUGACGGUACCCAAAGAAUAAGCACCGGCUAACUUCGUG